rnacentral:rRNA from 1 species
GUAAAACGUCUUUCGUCAAUGGCUUCUGCCUUACAUUUACAACUUUCAGCGANGGAUGUCUCGGUUCGAUCAACGAUGAAGGGCGCAGCGAAGUGCGAUAAGCAUUGUGAAUUGCAGGAUUCCGUGAACCGACAGGGACUUGAACGCAUA